rnacentral:rRNA from 1 species
UACGGGGGGGGCAAGCGUUGUUCGGAAUUACUGGGCGUAAAGGGCGCGUAGGCGGCUUUUCAAGUCGGGCGUGAAAUCUCCGGGCUUAACCCGGAAGGGUCGUUCGAUACUGUUGAGCUAGAGUGUGGAAGAGGCAACUAGAAUUCCGUGUGUAGCGGUGAAAUGCGUAGAUAUACGGAGGAAUACCUGAGGCGAAGGCGGGUUGCUGGGCCAACACUGACGCUGAGGCGCGAAAAGCCAGGGGGAGCAAACGGG